rnacentral:rRNA from 1 species
AGUUUUUGAACGCAAGUUGCGCCCGAAGCCAUUCGGCCGAGGGCACAUCUGCCUGGGCGUCACGUCUUGUGUCGCACCUAACCAUGCUUUCUCAAAAGAGGUGUGUGAUAGGGGCGGAUACUGGUCUCCCGUGACUAUGGUGCGGUUGGCCAAAAUUACGAGUCUCCUUUUGAUGGACACACGACAAGUGGUGGUUGACCUGACCUUAGUCUCGUGUUUGUGUGUCUGUAGAAGUAUUGGAAGACCUUGCAAAAUUACCCUGACGUGUCGUCUCGUGACGGUGCUUCGAUCGCGACCCCAGGUCAGGUGGGACUACCCGCUGAGUUUAAGCAUAUCAAUAAGCGGAGGAGAAGAAACUUACAAGGAUUCCCUUAGUAACGGCGAGCGAACCGGGAAUAGCCC